rnacentral:rRNA from 1 species
CAGUAGCCGCGGUAAUACGAAGGGGGCUAGCGUUGUUCGGAAUUACUGGGCGUAAAGGGCGCGUAGGCGGCCAUUCAAGUUAGAUGUGAAAGCCCUGGGCUCAACCUAGGAAUUGCAUUUGAUACUGUUUGGCUUGAGUUCGGGAGAGGGGAGUGGAAUUCCCGGUGUAGAGGUGAAAUUCGUAGAUAUUGGGAAGAACACCAGUGGCGAAGGCGGCUCACUGGACAGACACUGACGCUGAGGCGCGAAAGCGUGGGGAGCAAACAGGAUUAGAUACCCACGUAGUCCCUGUCUCUUAUAC